UAAUAAUUAUAUUCUCAAUUUAAUUAUAUUGAAUUGUAUUUUCAGGUAUUUAUAUAAAAAAUAAGUAGAUAUUAAAAAAUAUGAAAAUUCGAAACAAAAAAAACUAUGUUUGGCGGGCGGUUGCGUUAUCUAGUGCAAUGUCUACAUUGUUAGUGUCCAGUGUUCUUCUUAUGGAUCUUUAACCUCUCGUUUCUUUUCAUCUCGUGUUGCCUAUAGAUCUGUUCAGGAUUCUGUUCGAGGUAUUACAGUGAGCCAGCUUGAGGACCCUUUCUCCGACUCUAGCUUUGCCGCUCUCAGAGAUCUUGGCGAUAGACUGUUCUAAUUGACUUUUCCCUCCCCUUGAGGACCUCGUUUUUCUUAGUUCCCGCGUGGGAUUUUGCGGAACGCAUAUCUGCCGCAUCUGGAGGUUGAUGGUUUUGAGCCACUGUCUGUGAGAGUGACUGACGCCUCGUAUUCUAAAGAUGACAAUUCUGAUGGAUUUGCGAGGCCCGGUCCCCCCAUACGUACUGGAAGUGCGAGUAAGCUGCGUUCGUCUGUAGAGACUUGGUGGUUUGUGAUGGCGGGAAUCAGCACUUCAAUUAUUGCAUACUCAAGUGGCGCAAAUAGGUCGGUGAUAUCGGGGAGAGUUCUUAAAAAGUACGUCCAUCGAUGACGCAUACCAACGGUGAAAGCGGCGUAGCUCGCCUGAACCCAGUCCUCGACCUUGUCUCCAACAUAUUCCUCUAGGAAGGACCUGGAUCCAAGAGCUGCACCAAGGUGUGGACUUCAGAUGUUAUGUUGAUUGCAGUGUUAGCAGAUGCCUCUCUUGCAGCAUCCUCUCUGUCGGGCUUGGUAAUUAACCAGCACUUUUUCGCAUUCGGGUAUUAUCCGAGUGCUUGCGGAAACCGAUGCGGAAAACGACACAUCGAGAUACGGAACACAAAGCAUUGAGAUGCGGAACAUAACACAUCGAGAUACGGAACACAGCACAUCGAGAUACGGAAAACAGCACAUCGAGAUACGGAACACAAAGCAUUGAGAUGCGGAACAUAACACAUCGAGAUACGGAACACAAAGCAUUGAGAUGCGGAAAACAACAUAACGAGAUACGGAACACAAAGCAUUGAGAUGCGGAAAACAACAUAACGAGAUACGGAACACAAUGCAUUGAGAUGCGGUACACAUCACAUCGAGAUAGGAAACAACAUAACGAGAUACGGAACACAGCACAUCGAGAUACGGAACACAAAGCAUUGAGAUGCGGAACACAGCACAUCGAGGUACGGAACACAUCACAUCGAGAUACGGAACACAAGGCAUUGAGAUGCGGAACACAUCACAUCGAGAUAGGAAACAACAUAACGAGAUACGGAACACAGCACAUCGAGAUACGGAACACAGCACAUCGAGAUACGGAACACAGCACAUCGAGAUACGGAACAGAACACAUUGUCGGACAGAAACCCGUUAUCGACACUGUAGCAACUUGUUCUGUGGAAGUCUUACCUGGGUGGGACAAGAUGAGAAUAAGUCUCUCCCAGUAAAUAAUGCGCCCCCAGUACUCUUGACUCUCUCUAAUCCGGUGGAAUGGCGCACGCUGAUUGGCUGUUGAGCGGUCCGGAUCCGGACCGACCACUCACUCGAGAAAAAUCAACAACAGAAAGGUAUUUAGGAAAUUAUGUCUAUAAGACAAAAGAUGUUGGUAGACUUAUACUUUCAAGUUUACUAAGUUUACAGGUUUAAAAGAAUACAAAAGAAUUGAAAAAAAAAUGUUCGCUUUAAAAAUCAAUUCUUUUGCGGACCACUUAUCUAAACAUAUUUUUUACAGAAGGCCAAAAUUCCGACGUACAACCGUUGUAGAAAACGCAAGUUUUUUUUUUCUUUUUUCAUCCUUUUAAAAGCACCGCCAUAUAAGGCUUGUGUUUCUUAUUUUUCUCUUUUGGUCUGUUUUUCUCUGUUUUGUGCGUGUAUUGUCACGCAGCGAUAUAAAAAGGAAAAUGAUAAAAAACAACAACAACAGAAAGGUUAUUUUUCUACACUGUAAUAGCAAUUUGUUGCCGCUUUUCUUCAACAAUGAGUUUCAAUAUUUAUGCGAAUGAUUUCCGAACAAAGAGUGCCUUGCACUAUGUCUUUAACAGAUGAAUAUUGUAAAUAUUAAUGGUAAAUUACUCUAUAGCACAGAUCAUCGCUAGAAGCUUUCAUCUUUUAAGCGGCUCAUUGGUUCAUGACGGGAAAAGAGUUUAGCAAUACACUUCUUUUGCAAAAAUUGAAAAUAAAAAUAAUUCGAAACAUGAAGAAAACUUAUUUUUUCUGAAUGUGAUUUUUGGCAUAACACAAGGGAGUAUAUAAAAAAACGUACUUUCUAGGGACUUAUUAGUCUCAAAUAUUGGGUUUCGUGCAGCUUUUAAUUAAUGCUCGAUAAUACUCAUAAUUUAUCUAGAGAAAUUCGAUUUUAUUCGGAAAUCAAAUAAUUUUUAUACGAUUUCAACUUUCCGUAUUUACUAUCGGUAAAACCUUAUCUUUUUUAUGCGCAGUAGAAAAAAUUACCGUAGGAAAAACAAAAUCGAUCUCAGCAUCGAAAUAAUGUAUAUCCAAAUUUUUCUCAAAGUUCGCAAAAAUACUAAUUAGAACAUAUCUAUUAAAGAGCCGCAAAUGCAAAUGAGCAUACCCGACUAUUGAACUUGCCGAUUUUUGAGUUCUCUAUGAAUAUUAUUUUUUUCCUUGUUGGUUAUUAAAUAAUAAAAGAAUAAUAAAAGAUCGAUAGAAAUAGAAUAAACAUGACGUUUGAAAAGGGUUCAACAAGUCGAGUGUCAGGACAUCACUGUAGUUUAAUUCUUGUUUUCAAAAACGGUUUUAAAACGGAUAUUUUAAAAUGUGAGGAAAAUAGAGUGAGUUUUAUUCCGUUGCAAGCUAAUCGCCAUUUAAUUUCAUAACGAACUUAUCCCGGUUUACGUUCUAAACCCCUCCUCAUGUGAAAAAAGAUACUCAAUUCGGAACAAUGAAAAAGCCAUUCAAAAAAACAUUUUAGAACGGGACUAUUUUCUGGAAUAAAAUUGAUUUUUGUUCCAUGUGAACAGCUCUUGAAUAAUCGUUAAUGAAACUCAUCCCAGUAUUUGCAAAAACAAGAGCUGUUCUGAAAUAAGACUCGUUCUAGCAAAGUUAUUUAAAAAAAUAAAAAAAAUGGCAAAAAAAGAAAACGUGCUAAUCUAUAACAGCAAAUAUACAUAACACAGGGAUAUGACAAUAAUAAGAUCGUGUAAAAAGUAGGUAAUACAUGAUUGAAAUGCUCGCAUUCUUCAACCAAAAUAUAUCCCUCCCAUUAUAGGACAUUACGAAAAAGAAUUUCCCCUUUUUUGCCAUAAAAAUAAUAGAUUCACAUUUAAUUUUUCUUAUUUUUAAGGAAAAAGACUGUUAAACCCCGCCAGGUAAAUGAGAAAUCAAAAGAGAGUCUAUUAUGCCAUUCAAUACCAUUCAAAUUCCCUUUAUGGUAAUAGUCAACGGUAAUAUCGGAGAAUUAGGGAAUUAGCAAAUAAGGUUAACAUUUUUCAAGGGCACAAAACGGAUCUGUUCCGCAGCCCGUCUUUUUUUUGCUGGCUGGGGAAAUGUUAGACCCCUCGGCUGCUGGGGAAAAAUUGUACCGAAUGGUUCUGCUGGCAAAUUUGUGGAGUCGAACUAGUUGUGCUGGGAAUAUUUUUGGAGGCGCUGGGGCGGAUGCUUGGGAAAUAAAUCGUCCCGAUCGGUUAUACGGGCAAUUAUUCAUGUGCUAAAAUGCCUAACCACUGCUGGUAAAGAAAAAAUAAUAAUUAACGGUCCCUCCUGGUAAAAAGGAAGAUAUUUCUCAGUAACUUUUAAAAUGGAUAUUUUCGGCAUCAGAACAGAUCCAAACGACGAAAUAUGCCAUUUUAACGUGUUUCGGUAAGGGCGGCUCGUUAUAUGCCCUUUUUUUUUUACCUCUACUUCUUUGUUUCACUUGGUUCGAUGUGCACUGGAAUAAACGAUUAAUCUUUCGAUUC